rnacentral:rRNA from 1 species
GACGAACGCUGGCGGCGUGCUUAACACAUGCAAGUCGAACGAAGUGGGAACGGGUGAGUAAUACGUGAGUAACCUCCCUCCUUUUUGGGAUAAGCCUUGGAAACGGGGUCUAAACCGAAUAGAUGGGCUCGCGGCCUAUCCGCUUGUUGGUGGGGUGAUGGCCUACCAAGGCGGUGACGGGUAGCCGGUCUGAGAGGAUGAACGGCCACAUUGGGACCGAGACACGGCCCAGAAUCAUACGGGAGGCAGCAGUGGGGAAUCUUCCGAAAUGGACGAAAGUCUGACAGAGCAACGCCGCGUGAGUGAUGACGGCCUUCGGGUUGUAAAGCUCUGCUAAUCGGGACGCGGUACCGGAAUAGAAAGCCACGGCUAACUACGUGCCAGCCGCCGCGGUAAUUC